CAACUCCCCAAGUAGUCAGCCCAUCUGGCCUUGGGACCUUCAGUGCCACAGAGCUCACGUGGUCCCAAGUAACUCUGCAUACGCAAAGUCCAUUCUGGUCUUCCUGGAGCUGUCCCACACUGGCAUCAUUCUCAGAAUGGACUCGCAGGAAAAGUCCAUUCUGGAGUCAGGGAAUUCCUGGCAGGGUGCGGAGGCUCACUCACUGAGAGAAGCCCAGAGCGCAUUCAGUAAGGAUGUAACAGCAGAGGCCAUCAAUCCUCCUGCCCAAAGAAGCCAACUGGGGCCAACCAGAACAUCUCUGCUGCUUGCUAAGGGAAUGAGUUUGUUUUCUGGAGCUGCUGCCUAUGAUUGCAGUGGAGAAAGAUGAUCUGAAAAGUCAGCCGUGAAUUUAUUGCUGCCCAUUCUCCAAGGCAUAUCUCUUACACUGUGAAUGUUGUUAAGUUGUAGGAGAGAAAAGUGCUGUAAAGGAAUAAGGAUAUCCCUGCAUUUUACCAGGGUAUGUGGAUCAUUAACAAAAUACAGCAGCAAUUCUCAACCAGGGGUGAUUUUGCUCCCCCAGGGGAUAUUUAUCAAUGUCUAGAGACAUUUUUAGAUGUCACAACUUGAAGUUUGCUACUGGAGUCUAGUGCGUAGAGGCCAGAGAUGCUGUUGAAGAUCCUACAGUGCACAGGACGGCCCUCACAAGAAUUUUUCAACCCAAUAUGUCAACAGUGCCAAGGUUGAGAAACCCAUACACAGUAAGGCCUUAUUGACCAGAAGUUGAGAAACAGCAGUUAUAAAGACCAUGCAUGUGACUCCAGAUAAGAGGUGAGAUGUUUCUUCCCAUGGACACACAGUUGUUGUGAAAAAUAUUACAGAUAAGAGCCCUGAAGAUUCACCAGAAAUGACAGCUAAGAGCAGAAAAUGUGGGAUGAUUAUUUGUUAAUACGACU
rnacentral:lncRNA from 1 species